rnacentral:rRNA from 1 species
GUAGGUGGCAAGCGUUGUCCGGAAUUAUUGGGGCGUAAAGCGCGCGCAGGCGGUUCUUUAAGCCUGAUGUGAAAGCCCACGGGCUCAACCGUGGAGGGUCAUUGGAAACUGGAGAACUUGAGUACAGAAGAGGAAAGCGGAAUUCCACGUGUAGCGGUGAAAUGCGUAGAGAUGUGGAGGAACACCAGUGGCGAAGGCGGCUUCCUGGUCUGUAACUGACGCUGAGGCGCGAAAGCGUGGGGAGCAAACAGGAUUAGAUACCCUGGUAGUCCACGCCGUAAACGAUGAGUGCUAAGUGUUAGGGGGUUUCCGCCCCUUAGUGCUGCAGCUAACGCAUUAAGCACUCCGCCUGGGGAGUACGGCCGCAAAGGCUG